GCCCUAGGUAACAACCCAUGCUGGCCAUGUGCAUAGCACUGAGCAGUAACAUCAUGCACUGUUCUGCCAGAAUUUGGAAUUUCGCCCCAAAGAAAGACAGGAAUCAGAUGACAACUUCAGACAAGUCUCUGCAGCAGUAAACAGAGUGGUGAGUUCACGAGGUCUGCACUUCCCCUGAGCAUAUGAUGAUUAAUUUGGGGGAAAAAAAGUCCUGUAAAGGUAACAGCCCUGAAUAACUAAGUAAUCCGACUUUCCCCCUUAGGUGUAUGGGGCUACAACAGGAUCUCCCACAGAUAGUGACCAUCCUAAAGAGAAGAGGGAAGGGAAAACUGAAGAAGAAUUGGGUUCUGAUUCAUCCAGCACAGCUGAGAGUAAAAUUGGCUUUUCAAUGAAUGACAGUCCUACAUUUAGCAAGGGUUUGUUUGUAGACAGUAGAGACUAUUCUAAGAAAAACCUUCAGAACAUGAGCACAAACCUGUCUGGUGUCAGCUUGCUAGAGGAUGACAAACGAAGAGGGGCUCAAGAUAUUUUAGGAUCCCAUUUUCCAGCUGUUGAAACUGGAAAACAAAAGCCAAACUACAGACUCUCACGAGAUGCUCACCAGGGCCUGCCGCAGGGUGAAGCCUUGCAGAGCACAGGCAAGCAUAUCCCCAUCAGCAGCGUUGCCCCUCUCAUGAGGCACACGCAGGAAGCUAUGGGGCCUCAGCCUUCCUCGCAGGAGCAAGAAGCUUCUGCAGUCAACUACAAUCAGGUUGUGCUAAGACCCAAAGUGUCCAGAAGUAACAGUGUGAACAGCAUCGAAGAGACAGAGUCUCCAGCUAGCUCUCCAAGUGAAGACAACCCACCCACAGAAAACAUUGCCUUCAUGAUUACUAAAACAGCCGUCCAGGUCCUCUCGAGUGGGGAAGUUCACGAUAUAGUCAGCCGGAAAGGUGGAGAUGUGCAAACAGUGAACAUCGAUGCGAGAAGGGACAUGGCAUUGGAGAAGGGUAUCCCAGAAAACACAGACAGCGAAGAGCCGGUGGUGUGCCUGGACAAAAAACCCGUCAUCAUCAUUUUUGAUGAACCGAUGGAUAUUAGGUCAGCGUAUAAGCGGCUUUCUACAAUUUUUGAGGAAUGUGAUGAGGAGUUGGAGAAAAUGAUGACAGAUGAAAAGAUAGAAGAGGAAGAGGAGGAGGAAGAAAAUGAAGCACAUGAAAUCCCUGAGAGCCAGAAGGAAGAACCACCGGUAGUUAAUGACAGAAAAGCAAUUGCGGACUAUUCAGCGGCUCACGGUCUCGAAGAGCAGUACAUAUUAAACGUUCAGUCUUCCUCUGACUCUGCAGAAACCAGACCUCCUGCAGAAGAGGAAAGUACAAAGACGAAUUUUAACAAAUACCGUCAGAUCUAUGGGCUAAACACAGAAGCAAACUUGGACUCUGCCGAUCAGUUUGGCAGCAGGCAGGAUUCUAAGAAAAAGUUUAAAUUCAAAUUCCCUAAAAAGCAGCUGGCUGCUUUGACGCAGGCGAUACGGACAGGAACCAAGACUGGGAAGAAGACCUUGCAGGUUGUGGUCUAUGAAGAAGAGGAGGAAGAUGGAACCCUGAAGCAGCAUAAGGAAGCAAAGAGAUUUGAAAUCACCAGGUCUCAGCCUGAGGACAGUGACAAAAGUCCUUCUGGGAAGCAAGAGGGACUCCCUGGAGCUGCAGUGUCCAUGUCUAGGACUGAUGAAAUUCGACAGAGUACAUACCGAACGCUAGACAGCCUUGAGCAGACUAUAAAGCAGCUGGAAAACACCAUCAGUGAAAUGAGUCCAAAAUCUAUCCCUGAAAACACAUACAGCUCUGAGGGAAGCACUGUCCCCUUCUCUGCCCAGAUAGUACCAGAGACCCCAUCCCGAGAGCUUGUAGUGCUGGAUGAGAGCCUUGCUGGCGUAGAGCCCCCUCCGUCAAUCCCAGCCACUUCACGUAAGGUACCUUAGUCCAAGAAAUCAAACCUCCAGCUGCUU